GUCCUCCGGGUUGCGCAUGUGCACAUUGACGCUCCUCCCUGUUGCUCACACACAGUCAAACGCUGAGCUGUGAGCGCACUGUCUGUUGUCCUGUGAAGCCGAGGGUCCGGUGGUGUCAGCUGUAAUGUGGCAGUGUGAUGCGUGGUAUCGGACGGACCCGCUGACACUCUGUUCUUCCUCCUCUUCUCCUUCGUCUUCGCUGCUGAAGAUGGUGGCCGGCGGCUAGUGCCAACUUCGGACUACUUGGUGAUUUUUUUUCCCCCUCUCGGUGAAGCGCACAGAAAUCAGUUGGUGAGUGCCCGUCGUUGCGCACAUAGACUGCUCUGUCACCUGUUCUGUUCCACAGGUAGCAGGGCAGGUUGUGCUGUCCGGUGCAGCUCGUCGCGUUAGCAAACCUUCAAAACAGGGAAAGGAUUCAAUUGUGGAGAGGCUCUGUUUCCAGCAGAUUAACUGAGGCAUGCUGGGGCCAUGAUGCACCCAAACUCGUUUUUACACUAUUAAAACAACAGAACCAGAGGAUCAAAUGCUCUGGUUAUUUCUGGCUUUACAUUUAACACCACCUUUGGAGAGCAUGCUAAAAUCAGGCUGAUCCGAGACAGUCAGAUCCAGCAGCCUACCUGUCAACUCCAUAUGGGCUCACAGCAUUGUGUGUAUCAGCUGUUCAGUUGAAAAUGUCACCGGCUCCCUACAGAGAGCUCGAUGGCAGCUGGAUUAUCAGCUUUGGUUUAUUAAAAGGUGCGCAAACAAUGACCUUCUGAUGCUGAUCAGUCGAAAUGAAACAUUCAGUACCUCACAUUUAUAAGGGGCGUGAAAAAUCAACACUAACUUUCAUAUAGGUUGCAUCUUAAACACCCUUCAGACACAUACAUUUUUGGUUAAAACAUGGUCAGCAUUGCUUUUAGGCCUAAAAUAAGAACCAGUGGACAGUGGCCAUCAUGAAACCAAGCUGCAUUAAAAAUUUAGACCAUCAUGAGAUCUUGAAAAAGACACAUUUCAGUGAAGAAAGAAACACAUUUCACAGCCAUGUUUAACUUCUUUAAGUUGAAGUUUAUCAGUGUGUUUUAAAACAUAAAGAAGUUGUGUAUUUGUGUACAUAUAGUAUACAUAUAGUAUGUAAAUGACAUGUUUCAUAAGAUUAUAAACGUUGCUGAUUUUGAGAUAGCUUUGUCUUCUUGAUGAUGUGGGUAUUAUAUGCUGACAAGCGGUUUAACUUCCUUUUUUGUUACCAUCACUGAGACGCUCCAGUUCAAAGUCUGUUCAUCAGAUGGCUAGUUGCACUUCCUCUUUUUAUGUGUUUGCCGCCGUUAGAUUGAUAGAGUUGUAAACCUCUUUUACGUUGGUAUCAGAUCUUUGUGUUUAUUGAUGCCUGUGGUGUGAACAGAGUGGAAAGUGGGUGGCAUGCAUGGUUGAAAGUGUCAAUGCUUCUUGAUGUCCACUGAUGGAAAUAGAGGUCCAGUAACUCCGUUGCAGAGAAUCUCUGAAAGCAUGUGCAAUGUUGAAACUUUCAGACACAUAUAGAAACAGGGCUGGGCUUAAAACAUACUUGACUAUGUGGAAAAGAAACUCAGGAACACCAAAGUUAAACAUGAGUGAAUUUUACCAACACAGCAGAUCUAAAAUCAGUGUUUACGUCCUGAAGCAACUUAAUAUCCCACUCGUUUCAAUCUACUCAAGGGUUUGCGUGAACAAAGUGAGAGGAAAAGUCCUCACACUUCGCAACAAUUAAAGAGCGUGUGCAAAACAAAGUGUUAAGUAAAGCGAAAAACUUGAUUAUUCCAAGUUUGUUCAAUACAGGCAUUUUCCCAGGCAUAUUCUGACGUCUUUCAUACUCUGUCAUUGUAUAACAGUGAAUUCAUAUCAUGUGAUUAUGUAGCACCAUCUUUGAAAUUCUGCUCCAAAAACAGACAAGUUUUAUAAAAGACCAACUUCAACAGUGAAAACCCCCCUUUGAGAAAACUACUCUUGAAAUGGUAAAUUGUAAGAGUAGGAUAUUUUGGACUAUUGUGUUUUUAUCCUCUGGAGAGUAACCAUUCCCAUUCACACAAGUGCCUCAUCCAGGGGCCUUUGAACAAGCCUCAGUCUUUUGGCUUUUGGUGAAUGGGGAGCAAGAAAUGUCCUAGAAAAGCACAAAAAUUCAGACAUUUAGGGUGUCUGUGUGUAGUUGUUAGAGCCCUUAUUCUCUUGGAUGCUCUCACAUUGUCAGCUAUAAAAAAAGAAGCUUGAGUCCAUCAGGGUAUCAGCAGCUCCUCUCUAUUUUUAAUAUUCAUUUUAGCUCCGAGGCUCUCCCUUUAAUUUAGUGAUUUCACCCUAUGUUAAUUACACAUCCAUGAGGUCAAUUUAGGAGACACUCUCAUUUCUUGGCUGUAGUGAAGUGUAGUGUAGUGGCUGACUGCUGUUCCGUUUCAGCUGUGUAAUGCAGCAGUCACCUGUUAGCCUAAUAUUCUAAGAGAAUAUAACUCUAAUCGUUUCUGCGCAGGAAAUUUGGUGGCUUCUCCAUACACCUAUGAUGUCUUCCACUGCUCAGUCUAAGUUCUGUUAUUCUCUUUUGUAAACCCAAAAGGAAAGGAAAUUAUGUAAAAGAAUGAUAGAAAACCUCCUGUACUUAUGGUGCGUUCGAGUUACCUCGGAAGUCAGAUGUCGGAGUUCCUAGCAUUCCAGUUACCAAAUCGGAAAAAAGCGAAAUCGGAGGCUGAAACAAGAUGGCGACAUUUAUGAAAGUAAUUUUAGUGCUUGCCUUGUCCAAAUAUAAGGCAAGCGUUAAAAUAUAUUUCAUAGAUGUAGCCAUCUUGUUUCAGGCCUCCGAUUUUGCUUUUUUCCGACUUGGUAGCUGAAACGCUGGGAACUCGGGUGUGUCGUCAUUUUCAGCUCCGACAUCUGACUUCCGAGGCAACUCGAACACAGCAUUAGUUGGUAUCUUCUAGCUGAAUUAAGGUACCUUAUAGCAUAGCUAGAAACUGGCAGAGAGCUGGAGGCUAAAGCUUUGCUAAGUGGCAAACAGCUACAGCGCACUCGUCUGUCAUUCAAAUCAGAUCGAAACUCAAGCAUUUGAAACACAAAAAAUCUGUUAAAAAUAAAGAAACAAGGUAUAGAGACUGAAAAAAUACCAGGCUGUGAACAUGUUUAUUUCUGCUGUAAACAAGAGGAUUUUAAUGUUGGCACUGAUAGCGUUUCCUCAGCUUUGGGACAACCCCCUAGUGGCCAAUACCGGAACUUUUCUAACACCAGAGCUUGCCAAUUGGUUUUAGCCCUUUAGGGUUGUCAAACCAACUGCAUUAUAGUAUUUUUACCUUGAAAAUUUUGACUGCAAUUUCUUUUCUAGGCAGUUGGACAACUUAUGGAACUAUAUGAGGUUUUCAGUUUGGCCGCUCAGUCCUGUUUUGGUGUCCAUCAACACUUGAUAAAUAUAUCAGUCUAACUAAAAGCUAAAUGCUUACACUAUUUUCUGUUUGGUGCUGGAUGUGUACCAUUCAGCUGGUUUAUUGGAGUUAUUUUUUCCAUCUUUUUGAUAAACAUCUCCCUUGUGCAGAGGCCUGGAUAUGAGGCAGAUUGGAGAGGUAAAAAGAAAUGAAUCUGUGCAUUUGCAGAAAUCAAUGUCACCCACUGGGGAUUAUUGGAACUCAAUUUCAGUAGCCCUUACAAACACAGAUGACCAAUUGAGGAAGUGUUGGGUCGCUUCAUCAUAAAGUGAACAGUCCCUUCUACACACGCUCCUUAUGGUUUUAUUGCUUGGUUCAUGCAGUGCCUUUAACACAUUCGCAGCAGUAUUGUUGUCACAGGAUUAGUCAGGCAGUUGUUUUCAUACAAAGCUUUAGUUAAUAUAUUUGGAUGGGAAGUGAGGGUACAUCAUCUUUGCAGGCAGCGUCUGCUCUGUCACUGCUGGCUGAAUCAUCUGGCUUCCCAUCAUCUGUUCUCCUUCCUGCUUCUGCUCAGACAUUGACAUCAGGCUUCGUGUCACUGUGCGUUAGCAGAGAUAAUCGCAGACCGAUGAUGACAUGAAACCAUGUGCCCUCUGCCCACCCAAUCUGAUCCUGAGUCCCAGAGGUGAUAAACAUGACCUGCAGUUUGAUUCUUUAUCACUAACCUGUCCUGCAGCCUUUAUCGUUACCUUUAUGCAAGGGACAAAGGCUGCCAGUGUGAUCUCUAAACAGAUAACGGCUCAUCUAUAAAAAUCUGUUUAAUCUGCAGCUUAACUUAACACCCUGCUAAACACUUUCCUUUAUUUAGAGCCAAGAUGGACACAUUCACUGGACUGAUAUUAUUUGCCUCGACAUAUUGUACAGCAGGGAUUAUUUGUAUUUAAAAAUAUAAAGACUCUAUUAGGGCUGCACGAUAUUAGAAAAAACUAACAUUGCAAUUUUUUUCAACCUUGUGAUAUUAAAAAAUGCAGGAAUUUUCACCAGAUGACCUGAAUAGCACUUAAUGUUAUUCUGCACUGCUGAAAUCUUGUGGACAGUUAACCUGCACUGAUCUUACCUCUUUUUGUGAAUGUUAGUAGAAUGGCUUCUGUCUGUCUUGGAGAUAUUUUUAGCUUUUAUUGUGCUGGGACCUUAUUGUGGCAACAGAUGAACACAGAACACGUGUUUUAGUCGACAUCAUCCUUGUUGUAACCGAGAUAAUUCCAGAUAACUGACGUUGCUUUUCUUUUUGGCAACAAGUCUUCAUUUUUGGUGGUUUUCUCUUGUUCGUUGCUUAUUUUGCAAUCGUUGUUGGUGUUACCAGCAUGUCGCAUGUCAGCUGAGAAUUGCAUGCACCUCGCAAAACGCACACCGCUGAUCGUAGUGGUCCACGGAAAUGCACAAUUUAAAACCCAUACAAUUCUUAUUUGUUGGGCUAAACAGUAAAGAGUAAUGUUCGGAAAGUAAUUCUCGGCGGGCAUGUGUUUCUCGGCAGCGACAGCAACUUACUCCAUGUGCAGGGGCGUGGUUUCCUCCUCUCUGAUUUUGAAUGACAGCUGGCAGGGUAGUCUGAUUGGCAACAGAGUAAAGAACGAAUGUGAUUGGUGGAUCGCUGCAAAGCAUAUGCAGAGUCACAUGCGGUGUAUCUCAGUCAGCUACCCUUGAAAUUCGACGAGUUCAUUCGCCUCCUACAUCGCAGGCUCUGCAGUGUGACUGUUGCGCACACGUACAUCGUGAUGACGAUGCUCAAACGAUAUAUCCUGCAGCCCUAGACUCCCAGUAAAUUCCAUAAAUAAAUCCACUCAUUAUCAUUUUUUCUAUUAUCUAGUAGCAAAUCUGAUUACUUUCAAAUUCAGUAAUGUCACAAUUACAGAAAUUUGGAAAGACUCCUCACUUUACACCAAGAUUGAUGAUCUGCGUCUGUGACAGAGCAUCUAUGUCAGUGCAGUAGCAUCCUUGGAGUAAGAAUAUCUUAAGCAGUAAACAGACAGAUUGGCUUUUAUGACUCAGCUUUGAGCAAACAGUCUUAGAAAUAGCAGAACUAUUUCUUCUUCUUGGUGUGACCGAUGUGUCUUCUAAGCUAGCUGCCAGAGAAACCGGCAUUGCGGACACCGGUGACGCAGGUGCUGCUCACUUUAUCUCUGCAGACACAGGAGGGGCCACUCCAUUCAAACAGCCAGGGCUGGACAUUGAAAUACGGGGUGUUGAAAUGGUAGUCUGUAAAAGCAAGGUGUUCUUUCUAGUUUUUCAGCUUCCGUUUUUUUCUUUUUAGUUGAUUCCCAGUAAAAAUCUUGUUAAAGAUAAACACUGCAGGAUAAUUUUAAGGUUUCAGCCUGUGAAAUCACCAAUCUGCUUCUUAAUUACUAUGUAUCUAAUGGCAGCCCCCGAAAAACGAGUAAAGAUCAUACUGGCAAAACGCGAGUCGACGCUGGGUCUCCCCUACUGAUGAUUUAUAUCAUCAACCUUUAAAGGGCAGCCCUAAUUAGAGGUAUCAAAAACUGCGCUCAUUUAACUAUCGGUCCCACAUUUCAGAUAUUAUGUCAGCAUUUGCAUCAAAAAAUGUCAAAGGAUUCCCUGGUUUACUCCUCCCCGGUGCAGGCUGGUACUAUUUUUGAAAUAAAAAAUAGAGGAGCACAUGCUGUUUGGGGCCUUUGCUGUCUGCUUGUAUUUAAUGUCGUGAAAGGAAAAGCAGAGUUCUUUGUUUUUCAAAUGUGCCUUUUCGCAGCGAGAUAAAUGACAGCCAAGUGUCGCCUGUCACUUACAAUUUCACCACCCGGCACCAAAUCCAAUUCCCAUUGAUUGCUGGGCUGGGCCACUUUGAAGAUGGAAACAGUAAUUUCCCGAGCCAAAUUCAAGUCAUUCAUUAUUCCUCUGUAUUGACCAGUGACCUAAAGAGUUUAGCUCGAGCUGGUGCCUCUGUGGAUCCCAUUGCCCUUUACUGUGACCUAUGGUUACUUUUAUCUUCCUGCCAUUAAAACACGUCAGUCACCUGGCUCAGGAGUGUGUAUAAGAUGGCUGGUGUUUUUUUUUUAGAGAGGUAAGAGAAGGGGCAUCUUAAAAUUUCUGACCUCAGCCACCAUCAGUGGACGGUUUCCCAGCAACCAGGCCCAAACAGAGGCUCAGAGUGGGCAGUGUAACUCAACAGACCUCCCCCAGCGUGCCUCUGCCCACCUCUUUGGGAAAAGACUGGUUCGUCAAUGUCAUCCCUCCAUACUGAUUAGAUGGAAAAGGGAGCAGUAAGUGAGGUGGGCUGGUUCUUCAACGCAAACAAAGGCUGCAUUGUAAUUCCAGUACACUCACUCCACAGAUCAGUGACCUUUUCACUAUAUCAGACCAAACAAUAGAAUCAGCUGCUCUGUUUCCCCCACGGUAAUUACAGCGUGGAAUCCCGUCUGGCCUAGAAACAGGCACGGCAUCUCCACAUGCUGCCAGACAUCAAUGAUCUGAAGAGGUUAUCUUGUUGAUUGGCAAAUGGAGAGGUGGGUGGAGGAUGAGAGGCACAAUUGCCAUUUAAAUCGUGCUUCAAUGGGACCAGGAAACAUGGUUUUUAAAUGAAGACACCUCUUUACAGCUGGCUGCACCUGGCAGCUUUGCACAUUUGCAUCUUCAAAUGGAAGCAAGAGGGACGUAUUUUAAUAUCUGAGUAUCAUUAGCGACAGAUCAAAAUAAUCCUUGGUACUGCUGAAAACCAGGUUUGCUGUAAAUUAGACCGGUCCAGAGGGAACAGAGAUGAGCUUUGAUAACUGAAGCCCAUUAGCGAGAUUUUAAGCUGCUUUAGUUGAUAUUUUUGUAGAAAUAACAUAUCAUAUAAUAAAGCACAAUCUUAAUGGCAUGUCUCAUUCUUGAAAUUUGGCAACAGUUACAACCCAAGUCUUGUUUCUGAUAGUUUUUUUUUUUUCUGCUUUUUUUAACUUGUUUUUUUCCUUCUUGGCUUGUAGCUCAGCUUUCAUUACCAGCUGAAGACACAAGAUUUCCUCACAAAAACUGGAGCCAAAAAGAUCUGAAACACUCACAGUACGCUACCUGCCAAGAAAUAAACAACAGACGCAAAAACCAGCGAGUUAUUAACAGAAAACUCUGAUUGCUGUCUUUAGAUGCAUAACUUUGUUUUGAAUUAAACUUGUAAAUCCUGGUUUGAAAACCUUUUGGUCCCAAUGGACAAACAUGUUUUUUCAUGACAAACACACAGGGAUGAAUUUUUCUUAGAACUCGCUCAUUAGAAUUGGAUAAAGUUAUAUUUUUGGGACAUUUUGCUGAGAGACAGGAAACGUGGGGUGGAGAGAACUGGAAAAUGAAUAUAUUCUACAUUUAUGAAGAUUCUACAUUUUUCAAUACAAAACACUCCAUUACACCACCACUACCUACUACAUCCUCAAUGACAAAUACAAGGAUGUUAAUGCCAGAUGAAAUCCCUCUAGGGUUGACAAGACCCUUGUACCACCCUGUUGACUUUCCUAAAUAUGCAUUUAAUUGAUUUGAAAGUUAAAUAUGGGUUAAAAAAAAGUUUGUCCCUUCCAGUCCACUAUUGGUAUCACUACCAUGACUACAAAUUUUUCUAAUUAGUCUACUUAAAUGUCAUAAAAAAUAGGUCAACUUGAAAGAAGGUCCAAUAGUAGUUCAUAACAAGCUGAAAAGGUGCACAAUGCUGCUUUUAUUAGAAAAAUCAAACAUGCUGUUGAUAAUUUCCUUGCCCAGUGCUUGCCUGCUGAGACAAGGCCAGUAGGCCAAUUGAAUUGAGCCGUAACUAUAGCUCAACGUGACUGUGCAUGAACUAAAAUGAAGCUGAAAAGAGUUUUCAAUUAUUCCAACCUGAGAUGAAUAGUUUUUAAACCUGUUCAUUAUUUUAAACUACUACAGAGAUAUCAGAGGGACAAUAUGCCUAAAUAUCAGUGUAAUAUUCCCCCUUAUAUCCUGACUACUCUAAAUAGGAAGAAAUUCAUAAAAUAUUUAUCAAUAAUCCUUACUUGAUUUCAUAUUUUUCUCUGAAACUCCUUUAACACUUUUCCUGUGUUAGGGUCUGUUUUUGAUUUUAAAUGUGUAAAAGAACCACAUAAAGAAGUUUUUUUUGCAUCAAGACUUUUUGACUUUGUCAGGAACCUCUAUUUCAACAAAAUAAACAUAAAAAAUAAUAAAUUGACUAUAUUAUAAAACGCUGUUAUGAAAAUUAUGGCACUUGUCGUGUUAGAUCAAUAUCUAAUAAUUAGAGCAAAAACUGAAAUCACAAGUGCACUGUCAGGCACCACACUGAUAGUCAGAUCCUCUUCCAAUCAUGUGAGAUUCAGGAAACUCUCAUUUUGCCAUGUUUUUUCCAUCCUCAAAAAACUACGUCGGGCAUGUCCAGACAUGUGGGAUCAAUUCAGUAUAGAUGUGUGUAUGAGGGGUACACUGACAAAGAAAGGCCCAGAGACCCACUACAAAAAUUAUAAGUAAUAUUUUCAAGGAUAAUAAUGAAGCCUAACAAGGUAACCUAGAGAUGAGAACCAAACUGGAUGAUAGAGAAUUGCUUUUAGUGUAAUUUACAGCUGAUUUAAGACACGGGUCAAAACCGACCAUUUAAAUGGUGGGUGCGUAGUAAAAGCUAACACAGGAGGAAGGAUAAACAGAAAAUAUAAUGAACUCCUGGUAUAAAUCCUCUCUGGUUUGGAUCUGUUCAGGAUUCUCCUGCAGGAACUGAAGAUAAAAUUUGGGGAAAUGAAUGUCAGCCCUCCUCUUAUAAUUUUGGAUCAGUAUAAAUGUUUGAAAGCGGAUGGAUGAAUAGAUGAGUGCAUUCCCUUGGUGGAGAUGAAAUCCUCAUCUGUUGCAGCUCCUCUUUUAUCCCCCUUGCCGAGUGCAGCUUUAAUCGCAAACACAACACCAGAGUUUGACACUUCAGCUGAUGCAUGGUGGCAGAGUGUGUGUUGGCUUUAUAGCAUUUGUUGUGUUUGUGUGUGUGUGUAGUUAUGUGUCUCAGGCGUCGGAGUCUGCCAGGGGCCUACGGGUGGUAGCCAGCGUGCAGGAGCAGCACGUGCAGCUACAGCCACUCAGGCUGCUUACUGUUGACUCGAUGGUCUAGUUGGUCUAGAUGGAGAACGCCCCGGGUGGAGGACGGCCCGGUCACACUCUCAAAACAACAGGCUUGGUGCUGAAAUAUUGAUGUGACGGCAGCAAACAUUGUCCUCCCGAUGUCACACAUGUAGCAGACAUGUGUGACACAUAAACUAGAUUUAUCCUCCUGGCCUUCGCUCUUGAUUUGAGGUUGCAGCUAAUAAAUGGAGUCUGAAAAGGUGCUACAGCAAAUGUUGAAUGGGCUGUUUUUGUGCUUCAUAACAUUGAACAUUUCAGAAUUUUCAACACUUAUCUUAAAACACUUAAAAUUAAAGGGAUAUUCCGGCGUAAUAUUAAGUGAGGUUUAUGAUAAUUACUUCAUGGAACUGCAAUCAGACAGACGCUAAGGCAGAAGAACUACCACAUCUGCAGUGCAAAAUGAUAAAUAUGAUGAUUUUUACUUAAAGGAAAUGAUAAAGAAAUGAUCAUAAAUGUUCUUCCUUGAGCCGCGUCACACUGCUGCAGUCGCUGGACUCACCCGAGAUCUCGCUACAAACAAGCAGCUGCUGGAAGAGAGUAGGUGAGCUGUAUUUAGUCUCUUUGCUAAAGAAAUUAGGCAAAGUUAAAAAGAUGUUUGGUGGCUAGUACUAUGGCUGGGACCCUAUAUGUACUGUUGAUGAAGUUAGGUGCUGUUCUGAGCAUUAUUUGAGGCUAUAGAGUGGCGUUUUGGUUGAGUGCGUGGCUUUCCGCAUUACUAUUGUGUGGUUGUUACAAAAGUUGGUAUAACUAGAGAAGCAAGCGGUCGGCAACAUUCAUCUCUUGAGGGGGUAUCUAACUCGGUGUCACGGUGUGUUUGACCCUUACUUAAUUAUCCCUUAAAGUCAAAGGUCUGUCUCUGUAUAUAUCAUUUCUGUAAUGUUGUCAGACACCUGAGGUAACAGCUCUACCCUGAUAGUAGCAAAAAAAGCACUUUUAUUGGCCCUACUGUACGCAGAUCAACGCAUUUACCAGCGUCAUGGCCAAGGGUUGAUUUAAUCUACUGGAUCAAAUCCAAAGUGACUUCAACUUUAUAGUCCCUGCAGUAAAGCAGUUCCAAAUAGGUCUAAGAUUCAGUGAAGUUAACCCUUCAGUGAUGCUUCUGCGGAGUCCAGGAGGACUUUAACAGUUUCACGGACUGACCAGUGACAACAACUAUUUUUCAGCAAAUUCUGCCGCUUUUUAACAUCACUUUGAGUGACUUGAUCUUAAUAUUUUUGGAUCAUGUGUGACUGACACAUUUCUAUAAAGGUUUCUUCUGUGUAUUUAUGUCACCCUUAUAGUAUCAAACACUUAACUGCACUGCACAGACUUAAAUCACUUUACAUCACCUCUUAAGUGGUUAAACUUCUCAUGUCUUGACCUUGGCUGACACCACAAAAAAGUUGGAAAGUUCCUCUACAAUGUUUCCAUGCUCUACCUGUGCUUCUUGGUUAAUUAUUUUUAGCAACAGCUUUAAUUUGACUUCCAGUUAAAUGGCUUUGACUUGUGAUAUUGUUGGCUCUGUAGGUUUGUACUCCAUGUCACAGCUUUUCUUGCAUAAGAUGUCCAAAUAUAGAAUAAUCUUGAUCGAUUUGGAAGCAGAGCAAAGAGAGUUAAAGAUAAUGUAACCAGAUGAAAACAGAAACAAUGAUAUUUCAUUAUAGUUACUCAGUUACAUUUCCAAAGGCUGCUGCAUAUUGCCCAUUACUUAUUAACAUGCUUGCAGAUAAGCGUAGAUAGCAUAUUGUAAAUUAUAUAGUAUAUGGAUUACAUAUUGUAAGAUCAGUUUGAUAACAUAUAUUCAUUGACGUCGCUCUAUGUCAAAGUGUUAAUAUUAAUAUAUCCCCAGGGACACACAGAUAACAGGUUGGUUGUCUUUCUUUUCAGCCUGAUAUGCAGUUAUUAUUAAUGUUUCAUUGUCUGUAACUCACUCUUCCAUCUUUAUUUCUUGUUUGACAAUGGCAGCUUGCAGUUCUUGAGAGUUGAGAGGAAAUAUUUUGAACAGUGUUUCAGCAACAGCCCAACCCCUGCAGAGUGAUGGAUGUCACUUCUGAUUAAUUUUAAGAAAUCUUUCAUCAAAAUGAAAAAAAAGAUUAGUCUCUCCAACUCCAUAGUGACACUACGAAAGGCAACUGAUUCUUGCAGGAUGAAUUUGCAUAAAACUACAAAUUCAAGUUAAAACAUUGACCUGCUUAUUUAACACAAUAAGUUACAUUAAGUUGAGAAGUUGAAGAUAACAUUUGACAAGGUGAACAGAACUUCUGCAGGAAUAUUUAGAUCCCCCACAAAUAUGUAAAACAUUCAUAAUCCAUCCUGGGUCAAUAUGAUGAGAGAUAAUAAAAACAUACCCUGUGUUAAACAUCCGUUGUCAUGGCCACUUACUCACCUUUGGAAAAAAAAUCUAUCUUGACCCUUUUUUCUACUGCACAAGAUCGCAUUAUUCUGAGGAUGUGUGGGUGGCUUGAUGUGUUGCAUUUUGGCUCUGGAGUUUGGAUCACUUCACAGAAAGUAGGAUUUUCAGCCACACUAUCGAGUCACAUUUCUAUAGAUAAAUCUGGAGAUGGAUGCCAAGAUAGUUUUAGCCCUCUGAAAGUUUUGUGUUUGAGCAAAGACAACAGCAAUGCCUGAGACUUCUUCCAGGACUUCUGUACCAGCUGUUGUGGUUGGAAUGCUGGUGUCCAAUGUGUCUAACUUCACCUCUGCGUUCUCUGCAAACAUCUGCCGACCCAUCAAAGCCCCAAUUUUAUAGAAGCUAGAAUAAGUCCAAACUUUAGACUUCAAACCAGCUUGGUUGAUAGUUUCAUGCUUGAUAGCUUAAUUUGCUUGGCUUCUCUCUGCUAGAAGCCAUCAUUGCACUGCUGGUGAAUGCCCAGAAUGUUGCACAACAGGAGAUUGAUCUGAUUGAACCCCUGACUUUGUGGCCAUUUGGAUAAAAAUGUGGAAAACUGGACACUGUGACAAAAACAGUGGGUAUAUUUUCUGAUGAGUUGUUGCAGCAAUUCUCCUUACCUGUAGUUGGAGCCCCACUAUGAAUGCACACAGAGGGCUCUAUUUUCGUGCCCGCCGGCAGCGCGGCGGAGGGUUGCGCAACCCGCACAGUGGUAUUUUCGUCUGGCGGAGCCUGACGCACAGUCAGUUUCGUAUUUUCGAGGUCCGCCAAGCCGCGCCUGCGCCAGGCUGCCAGCGAGGAAAAAAAUAGAGCCCAGAGUCUAUGUUGAUAAUUGGCGAGUUGAACUCUUUUUAUGCCUUCAUAAAUUCAUAUGUUCUGUAGCUUUGCAGUACCAUCACACACAUCCAGAAAUUAGCUGUGGAAAAUAAAUGACAUAGGGAUAAAAUGCAUUGGGUGUUGCCUUUGCUAACAAUGAAAUAACCAAUCACAGAUUAGGGUGAUUUAUAAAAUCCUUCAAACUUCAAGGGUUUUGUUUGGCAGUACUGAGUUUGUGUUGCAUCGACUGAUUUAGAAGUGUGUAAAAAACACUUGACCCAACCUGAAAAACUCUCAAAAUUUACAACGCGCAACCCCAUGACUCCGCCCUGCAUAGUAGUGUCCUUUUUUGGGGAUCUAAAAUAUGGUCACCCUAUCACUGAUAAUGCUUUGAGUUUGCAUCCCUUGACUUGACCAAUCGGAAUCAGGUAUUUAACUAUAGGUAAAAAGCGUAUUCUCAUUUCCUGACUAUUAAAGCAAGCCAGCUUUAUUUGGAUGGCUAAGUGCUUAACAUAUAAAUAAAACAGAAUACACAACACAGAUUUAUAGUUGAAGAUUUAAAGGUCAUUAAAACACUUUGUGACUUGGAAAAUAGCACAUGUACAUUCACUGAAAAGUGAUCUAGCUUAAGCACCUAUAAAGGGUGGAGUUCCCUUUUAUAAUAAGAUUAAAGCAAACAGGUAGUCAAAGACUCACCCUAGGAGUCCAAUUAGAGUGAGUUAGAGGCACAACAAUAGCAACACUUGUGACUUACGGUCAGGCAUGCUUUAUUGUAUAGACAAUGUGGUUUUCCUUAUAUUCAGACUAAUUGAAGAAUUGUUGAAUUGAGGAUUAGUCAAUUAUCAGAGUUGGAAAAGAAAAUAACAUGGAAGUCAUACAUGUGCCCAAACAGCCUGUUCUUACUCGACAGGCUCUAUUCUUCAGAUCGUUCCUGAGACCUCUGCCAACGCCGCCGCCUGCCAGCCGUUCUCUACUCUUAAUUGUGCUAAUUGCUGUAAAUAGAUGGGUGCCGUGUUCAGUGAUUGACCCUUGUGAAAAGCUGCUCAAUCUGUCUCAUAUUUGGCAACAUGGAAGGCGCUUUGUCAGCCCUAUUCCUUAUAAUGGCUUGUUGUUAUUGCACAUAAAACAUGGGUAAUCACAGAGAGGGCAGCUGGAUGAAAAAACUAAAUAAAACCAGGGAGUGUUCAUCGCCUCUUUUUAGUGUAGAGCUGGGUUAGGGCUAGGUGAUAUGGGAAAAAGUUUAUCACAGUAUAUUUUUUCAUAUCAGUCAAUAUCGAUAUCACAAUAUAAAAAAAUGAAAUUUAACACUGCUUAUUGGUAGCAUGUCUUUUGCAAUACAAUAAGCUACUACAUCUGUGAGGUCUUUGUGUCUCUUCAACAUUUUGUUGUAAGACAUUGCGCUGUUAAAGUGCUAUCAUUGUGUGUAGCUGCAGCCUGCUACUCCACAGUUGUUUGCUACUUGGUGCUUAUUCAGCACGAUUGGUUCAGCGUGAAGUGGACCCGGAGAAACUCCCCUUUUCAUUCGUCAUUCGUCCUUCCGUCAACGAAUUUUCAUAGUUUCCACUGGAGAUAGGGCUGCACACUUCUUCAUUUUUAAAUCAUAAUCGGGUUAUGUGAUUAUGACGAUGUUAAAAAAAUUAAAAUCAUCAAAUUGAUUUCCUCUCUAUCAUGUCUUGAGAUAUGAUACACAGUGCAACUCAAAUAUGGCGCCUAUGCAUGUCCAACACAACCUUUAUACUAGUGCUGGACGAUAAUUCGAUAAUAAUAUAUAUCGAUCGAUAGACGUGUGGUGCGAUAGAAAAAAAACGGGUCGAUAAAAAGUUCGAUAGAAAAACACAGUUUCCCUUUCUUUUUCAUCAUAGCCUAUCAUGUAGCUUUUACUACAGCCAUUACUUCCUCCCAACCAAUCACAAACGCAGACCCAUGUACGCUACGGCACCAAGCCCAGCCCCUAUCAAACCACAACAGACAGCACGUGUAUUAGAAAAAAUGUUACAGCAAGGAGAAGCGGAGGAAAUUGCCCCGAAAAAAGGUUUCGGUAGUUCACCAGCAUGGCAAUGUUUUGGUUUUUACAAGUCUGACAAAAAGCGAACAGCGGUCGUUUGCAAAAUUUGCAGAGAAUUAGUAAAAACGAAGUCUGGUAACACAAUCAACUUGUUUUACCAUCUAAACCGAACGGUCGCACCCGCAGGAGUACGAGCUGUGUCGGCCGCGCCGCGGCUCCACGUCAUCGGAGGAGGAAUCCUCUGGAACCGCUGCCAGCACCAGCACAAAGCAAGUGAAGCAGACCAAACUGGACUUUGUUUCUUGCCAAAAAUACGACAAAGCGUCCAAGCGGCAUAAGGACAUCACCCAUGCAGUAACAUGCUCCAUAGCGAGGGACAUACUGCCAAUAACUACCGUUGAAAAGCCUGGCUUCGACCAGCUUCUAGCCACUCUCGACCCGCGAUAUGAUAUGUGCCCGGCCGCAAGUAUUUCUCAAACACAGCGCUUCAGGUAUGAAAAUGGGUCAGGGGUUGAAAAGGUGAGAAGGGUGCGGAGGAAAAUGAGCUCAUAUUCUACAAAGACGCGAGUAUUUGGAUCAUGACUACUAGCAGGGGGGGCAUUCGGCAGGGGUGCAAUCUACGACACAACACCGGCGUGGAUAAGUCCUGCUUCUCGUGCUUAGUUUGUGUAUUAAGUCAAUCACAUGAUAAUUAAAAAAAAUAAAUCUCCCGACCCCGGGAGAAAUAUUUCAGUGUUCAGACACCAGGCUGUGGGCAGUUUCCCACACAGUUAAAACUGGUAGUAUGCUAUUCCCACCUAAAGCUAUUCUGUUUAUUUAUAUAUUUGUUUAUUUUCAUCAAAAGACUAUUUAAAUAUUUAUUUAUCAGAUUUUCUGGUCACUUUAGUCUUUAUGUUUGUCAGUAUUUACUGACGUCACUCAGGCCACUUAAGUUGAUUUCUUUUUUUUUUAGUUCUUUUUUUAAAAAAACUUUCAGUUGUGGUAAAAUAAAAAAGGUGGUUGAAUAAAGGUUUGAAUUUGAAUUCAGUGCUUGUGUGUUCUUAAUUAAAAGUAGGUCAUUAAGCAAUAGCAUAAAACAUCCAGGGCUACAAUUAAAAUAUAUGUUAAAUAAUUAUAAUAAUUAUAUCGAUAAUUAUCGAUAUCGAUCAAUAUGAGUUAUUUUUUACCGAUAUGCUUUUUUUCUAUAUCGUCCAGGCCUACUUUAUACGCAUGCUCUGUACUCUUCUUCUGUCUUUUGUGCUUUUCCUUGGCAGCAUUACAGCGCCACUCACUGGCUCGGCAUAUGCGCUACAUCGUUUUCAGUGGUUUCAUUUUGAGGGAUGAUAGAAAAACGUAUUAAAGUGAAGUUUGGUGAAGUUGUCACUGAAUAAAAAAAUCAAAAUAAAAAAAAAUCAAGUUUUCAGAGAAAAAAAAAAAAGGAUUUUAUUUUUGGCCAAAACUGUGCCGCCCUAACUGGAGAAGAAAAACACUAAUUUAAUAUCUGAUUUUUCUCCAACUUUUUCCUGCCCUGAAACCAAAACAUGGUAUGUUUGAGAUGAACCACUUUCAUUCCUGCUUCCUUAUAAAAGACACUCUGUCUGAUGUUUUUAUUUUAAGGUUACAUUACAAAGGGGGGUGGGGGGGGGGGUCUGUGUAAGAGUUUUGAAUUAUUUAUUUUGACAAGAAAACAUGAAGAGCACAACAUUUGGUUCCAGAAGAAGAUUUUUACAAUGCUGGUGGCAUUUUUAUACAGCGAAAGAGCCCUUACAGAGUCAAAAAUCUGAAUUAUUCCUGAUAAAAAAUCUUGAAAAGCUUUCAAUGUAGGGUCCUCACCAAUCCAAAGAUUCACCUGUAUUAAACUCUACCUGCACAGACCUGUUAGCAUAAGAACCCAGAGAUUUUUCUUCAAAGAUCUCGCCUCCUCUGAGCAUAUUAUCUACAAAGUAAAAGCCUGUGCUGAUCCCUUUUUGUCUGUGAUUCCUGGUCUCUGAAACAUGAAAGCAGGCAGCUGUAGUAAGAAAAAGAGCUGUGUGUGUGGAUCAGCAGAAAAGACGGAAAGAUGUGCCCGGGAUGUUUGUGGGAUCUGAAGGGAGGCUGUGAUCACGCUGUCUCAUUUGAUCAGUCUCAUGUCUCUGCUUUUCCCCUUUCUCUCUCUCUGCUACUGCUCAGGAAAAAAAAAAGAAAAACACUUCUAAAACCAACCUCUUACAUCCAAGUCAUGUGUCACCUUCCUGCCUUUGUGCAUAUUAUAUAUUUGACCUCAUGUGCACCUGUUCAUAUAAAAAAUAGCAGAAAAAUCAUGUUUUGCAUAGACUUGAUAUUAAAGCGCUGCAUAUAUUUCAUCCUGCUUUGAUGUCUCACCAUAAGAGUUGCAUUUCUCAUUAAUCUCCUUGUAGUUCAGUCUGAAGUUAGGAUAUUGUCUCAUUUAUACCCACCCACAUAAUGUCCUUGUCAGUACAUCAUCUCUACAUUGGUAGUAUUCUGCAUGCAGGUUUAACAGACUUAUUUCCAACAACUAAUAUGACGUAAUUUCAUCAAGACAUGUCUCUGAGCAGAAAAAAAAUAUAGAGCACUACAGAGACAGUCUGCUUCUUACUCCUUGGCUCCCCUCCUCCACUGUAUAGCCAUCUUCAUAACAAUGGUGCUGUUUCCAUGGCAGCUGGAGCAUGUUAAGCUUUAGGAUAACAGUGAAAAAAAGUGGGGAAAAGGACAGGGAAUAAUCACAGGGUAUGAAGAGGCUAAAAAUAGCAAGGAAGUUAAUCCCAGGCAUUAUUUAUUCAUCUAAAACUUCUAGUGUCUGUGCCAGCUGUGUAAACGUCUUUUUCUUUUUCAGUUUCUCGUUAAAUUCUGACCUCAACCCUUACAGUCUCACAGACUGACUAAGAUGAGGACCGCAGGAGUUGUGAGAGAAAUACAACACUCUGGAGGAUUCAGAGGAGAUGGAUUUGUUGUGGUGUGGCUGUCUGAGGAGGAAAACAAGUCUCGGAUUCUAACAAGGAAUUAAAUAUUCUUAUUUACCACAUUUAUGAAAUUUUGCAGUGGUCCAACAUUAGCCACGUUUACAUGUGCAAAAUUUUUUGAUCUGAUUAAAAAUUUUAGGGAUCGGAUAAUCUGAAUCCACUAUUUAUAUGGGUGCAAAAUCAAAUAAUCCAAUCAUGACUAGCGUAUACAUGCACCAAGAUUUAUUCAGAUUAGAAGCAUUUGGACAUGCGUAGAGUUGCCUUAUUUCGCUGAAACAACCGCAGAAGAAGAGUUGUAUUUACGCCUGUGCUGUCAACAAACCAACAAACGCAGUGGUGGUUCACUCCAUCCAGUUCAGUUUUCCCCCAGUUAAAUGUUGUCACUAGAUGGCGCCCUUGUGUACUUAUUUUACUGUUCUGUCAAAGGUUGCACUGUGCUUGCAGAUGUGACAUCAUUAACGCUGUAUGUACGCCUUAUUAUGUUAUUGGAGGAGCAGACACGGCGCCUGUGUUUGUGUUUUAUGCCAGAGUGUUAAUAAUGAAACCUCCUGUACUGGCCUCAAUAAAUAAACCAAAGGCUAAAGAGUGAAGAUCGAGUCAGGUAAGAGAGUCAUGAUUGGAAUAAGUGUUUACAUGGACGUGUUUCGGAAUGACAAUCGGCAUAAACCACCCCUCUUGAUCGGAAUACAAUUUCUUUCUGAUUGAGCCGUAUCAGAUCAGAAUCUUCCGAUCGACAUGUUUACAUGACGCAUUUUUAUUCCGAUCGGGCAUUUAUUCGAAUUAUUUGUGCCCAUGUAAACGCAGCUAGUGUCACAUUGCGUAUGUAUUAAACGACCUAUUAAUAUGAUGUAGGUCCCCUUACUUUGUUCAUCCAGUUUUGCUGCCUUGGUGAUACAUCUUAUCAAGGAAUAUAUGACACAUUUGGAAAAAUAAAUAGAUAAAUACAGCAAAUUAAAGAAACACUGCUGUUAAAGAAGCCUUAAUUAUACAAACUACUGAUUCAGACACUGACAGAUUCUCUUUUUUCAUUUUUGAGGGCUUUCAGAUAAUGAUCAUAGAUCAGACUGCAUGAAAAACCAUCACAAGUUGUCAACUUUUUGUUGUACGUCUCUCAGAAUAGUGCUAGAAAAUACAAACAUUUGAAUUUGAUAGCAAGCUUGUGUAUUUUAUGCUCUGAUUGGUAAUGUUUGGAGCAUAAUGAAGCUGUAGUGUGUGCUUUGAGAGCGUGUGCAGCGACAGCGUUGGCAGUAUGUGUGUUUCUGUGUCUGUCACACUGAGAGUGUUAGACUGAUGAAAAGCAGAAUAGAGGUCAGCCUCAGGCAGCAGGCCGGCCAGGCUGCUUGGCACUGAGAACAGAUAUCAAUCAUUGUCGGUUGUUUGGAGAGCAGAAAACUCUGAAGGCUUUUGAAAACUAAACAUACUCCUGGUAUUUUUGUCCUGAUGCCACCGUUGCUGUCUUUGUGCUCGUAGAGUUUGAGAGUUUCUGACUGAUUCAUGCCUGAAAUGAAUUCAGAAUAAUAAAAAUGUGACAUUUUGAUAUCCUCUUAAAUACCCAGACCUUAUGAGACCAAAAAUUGCAGGUCUAUUGUUAGGACUUUUAUCCUAAAGAUUGCAAAAAAAUGUCCUGGGAGAUUAACAUUGUGCUGAGUCAAUUUUGGGUUAUGAUUAUGAAAUGACGUGAAUUCGGUACAGUCGUUUAAGUUUGUUCUUGUUUAGUCAGAGCACAAUAGAGCUUCUCAGGCUACAGGCACAAAAAAAAAAAGAAAAAGUUUUUUCCCCUUUUAAAAUGAGGAAAAUCUUCCAACCAUGCUUUUUAAAUAAUUGAUGAAGCCUAGUCCUGACUGUUGUUGGUUUUAUAAGCUGACUGGAGACAUGCAAAAGGUUUUGUAUCACAAGGAGGAUUAGAAACUAUUUAAAGAAGACGCAAAGAUACAGCAAAACAGGCGCCAAAGGGUGUGCGCCCUGACCGGAGCAGUGACAAAGCAUUGACUGAAAACAGCGCUCAACUUUAGGUAAGACACGAUGGAAACUGUUGUAUAAGCUCAUUGUAAAGUAACAUCAAACCUGCCUUAGUUAUGAAAGGGAAGAUUUCUUUGGAUGAUCUGUUUGGUUUCAUGUUUUUGUCACCCCCUGAUAAACUCUUUCCGUGUAUGUUUUAGCAAGAAAAGUAGUUUUUGGGAGUCAGAGACUGGAGUUUUUUCUCUGACCUAUUUAAAGUGUGUUUUUCCUCAGAGUUUGUCCCCGUUUAUUUCACGAAGAAAUUCUGUUUCCUACAGUUUGAAAUCACACACUGCGGUUUUUAGUUUUCAGGGAAAAUGUCAUAUCAAUUCAUAUUGGAACUAUCGACUUCAAAUGGACAUGACAUUUUCAGACAAUCCGUCUAUGCAAUUUUCAUUUAUUUAUUUAUUUUUUCUGCAGGUAGAAGAACAAAACUAAACCUUUCAUUAGUCAGAAAUGAUCCAUGUACUGUAUUGAAUGGUCAUCUGAUGGUGAUAUGCAGCAGUUUUUCAGCCUGAAAGCAGUACCAACGUCCUCAUUACAACCUUUAAUAAGAAUGAAGCUGCAUUUAAAAGCCCAGUUUAAAAGACCUUGAAAUCAAUAUUUUUUUUAUCAGAUUUAAUCCUAUUAAUCAUAAAAGCUCAAACGGCCACUGGGACAGUGAACAAACUUUUUCUAUCUCAGUUAUACUGAUUAUUUUGCCGUCUGUUGCAUCCCAAAAUUGCUAAAAAGAUUUUAAUUGACUGUCACCUCAACCUCAGGGUUCAACUUUUAUGCCCCUGCUAGCUGUUUACGUGAUGGUACAAUCACACUCUGGUACACAGACAGAACACCGUUGUGGAUUUAUGGAUAGCCUAUAGAGAUGAUAGAGCUUUGAUACAAAACAAUUCUAGACUAAGGCUGCACGAUAUUGGAAAAAAAUAAUAUUGCGAUUUUUUCAACCCUGCGAUAUAUAUUGCGAUAUUAAAAAUACAGUAUUUUCACCAGAUGACCUGAAUAGCACUUAAUGUUAUGCUGCACUGCUGAAAUCUUGAGGACAGUUAAUCUGCUCUGAUCUUACCUCUUUUUGUGAAUGUUAGUAGAACGGCUUCUGUCUGUCUCAGAGAUAUUUUUAGCUUUUAUUGUGCUGGGACGUUAUUGUGGCAACAGGUGAACACAGAAGACCUGUUUUGGUCGACAUCAUCCUUCUUUUAACCGAAAUAAUUCCAGAUAAUUGACUUUCCUUUUCUUUUUGGCAACAAAUCUUCAUUUUCGGUGGUUUUCGCUUGUUCGUUGUUCAUUUUGCGAUCGUUGUUGUUGUUGUUAGCGGUGUUGUGCCGAGAAACGCAUGUCCUCCGAGAAUUGCAUGCACCUCGCAAAACGCGCACUGCUUAUAGUAGAGUGGUCCACGGAAAUGUACAAUUUAAAACCCAUACAGUUCUUAUUUGUUGGGCUUAAUAGUCAUGAGUAAAGUUCCGAAAGUAAUUCUCAGCGGACACACGUCUCCCUCCAUGUGCAGAACAUGUGCAGGGGUGGGUUUUCUCCUCCCUCAUUUUGAUUGACAGCUGGCAGGGUAGUCUGAUUGGCAACUGAGAAGUGAGUCUGAUUGGCAACUGAGUUAAGGACGAAGGCGAUUGGUGGAUCGCUGCACAGCACAUGCAGAGUCACAUGGAGUGUAUCUCAGUCGGUUACCCUUGAAAUUAAAUGAGUUCAUUCACCUCCAAUAUCGCAGGCUCUGCGAUGUGACUAUCGCACACACGUACAUCGCGAUGACGAUAGUCAAACGAUAUAUCGUUCAGGCCUAUUAUAGACUCAGAAUAAUUUAUAAAGAGUCUAUUCAUUAUAUUCAUGCUUGAUAGUUUGGCCCCGAUAGACCGACAGUACAUGACCAGCGCAGCACCAAACUGUAAACUAAAUAAGCUGGUAGGGCUGGGUGAUAAACCGAAAAUUUACCAAUACUGAAAUUUACGACAAUAACCAACGUCAUUUUGCUCGUAUCGGUAUAUUUGGUGUCAAAAAGAUAAAUAAAUAAAAGUUGGUUUUGGAUGUGUGUAGUUGGGCUAUAGUCUCAUGUCCUUUUAAAAGCCAGUCAGUAACAAAGAGGGAAAGACAGGUGAGGCGAUGGAGGACGGUUCAAAAGUCAGCUGAAGUAGACAAAGUUAAUGUGGUAGGACAUGAGCAGCUUGUGGAGUAUCGUCCAUUUAUCGUUAUCGAGGUGAACUGCUCAAUAUCUCGUGAUAUUGACUUGAAGCCAUAUCGCCCAGCCCUAUAAGCUGGAGUCAUGAACAUCUCAGAGAAGUAUAUUUUUGGGAAGAGAUGCAAGACCACAGUGGGCAUAAAUAUCUUAUCAGCUGAAAGUGAGUUUUUGAAAUCCACACACAGGGAAGGUGUCAGAGGGACUAAUUUCCUGAAACAAUCUUUGAAAAAAGAAAACAGCAAGAAGUCUCCAGACUAGGGAAACAAUUGAGCAUUAAAAGGUAGCAGGAUGAGAUUUUUGUAGAAAACACUUACAGAGGAGAGAAUCAGCAGCUUUGUCUACAGGGGGCACAUAAUCACCACAAAUAAAAGUUCGACUAUGACUAUGACUGUUUUAUUUUACCAGAAGUCCAGCAAUCAAAUCGCAUACAGCAUUUAUUUUCACUGUGUAGUUGGCCAGCAACUUUUAAAAUGUUGUUGAAAGAUAAAUGAUUGUCUCACCAAGAUUAUUUGAGCGUUGAGAGUGAAAUAUAUGCAAAAUUUGGCACCAAAAAAGCCAUGAUUCAAACAAUGCCUUGGCCAAAUUAUUGCAUAUGUUUUGACACUUUAAUAUGCAAAAACUGCACUUAUUUUGGAGAUGAAAUGUUUGUAGCAGAAUUUUUGAUAAACCAAAAUAUAAUGGCAAUUUAAACCAGUCGAAUGCUUUUAAAGAGAUUUGAUGCUGUUUUUGAAUAUUGUCCAGCCAGUCUGCAAGCCGUGCAAAAAGGCCAACAAAUACAUACCUGCCGAGUCUUAGAGUAGGGUUUGCUCUAGCUGUUUAAAAAAGAGAGGGCAGUAUGCUUUUGUUGGUCAAAGCCAGAUUAUGGAGCUUUCUCUGGGCCCGCCGCUGUCCGUGGUGCUGAAAGCUUCCAUUCAUUGACAGUGUAAAGUGUCUGUGCAGAGACGCAUUCUUACUCAGGGUCCUUGGACUUGUAUUUUCCAUUUACAGGAGCAGGCUCUUAGAAAAAGCCGGCAAGGCUCCUUCUGAAUAGAGCCGCUCUCACCGGCGCUGAGAGGACUAUGAGGUUUGAUCAUAGACAAUAACACUGUGCUGCUGUGGACCAAAUUACCCUUCAACACUGAAUGUGAUGGAUAGUUCAGGUGCGCAGAUACAAGAGACCUGAAGGAGACAUGAAAGAAAAGGCUUUUUUAAAAACUCAUGUCCAGCUGACUUGAUACGUGAGGAUAAUUUUAGCUGCAUGAUUAUUUACACAGUGUCCCUGUAAGAAAGAUGAUGAUUCAAGUACAAACUGUAAUUUGCUGCUAAAUUAUAGAGGCUUGUGUGUUCGGGAGAAGGCCAGGUAGUAAUUUGCAGCAUCAGUGAGCUUUUGUUUGAUUCUAGAGCUGUCACCUGUUAGCACCUCCAAAGAAAAACAAGAAGAAAGCGUUUCGGUCCUCUAACUUUACUCAGAACCAUCUCUGUAAACAGCUCUGGACCUCUGACAUUACUUUACUCAGAAAGGCUUUCAUAACCCUACCUUGUUACGUAACACACCUGCGGCUGUAUCCACACUGAGCCUGAGUGGACAUCAGAGUAUCUAGGUCAAUUUUCCUGACAAGCUAAUCCUAUCUGAACAGUGGUUGGAUUAUCAGCUAAAAUAAACUUGUUUAGAUUUGGGGGUCACUGAAUGUUCUGUGUUUAGUCCAGAUGGCUUAAUGAAAGUUACUAAACAGAUGUUCUAAUCAGGAUCAGACUCACGGUGGAGGUUGAUGUUGAUGAUGCACAUUUGAAUGACUUAAUCUCUAGCAUUGUCCUUUUGUUCAGGCUUUUACCCAUACCCUAUAUAUAAAAGGUAUGAUAGGAUAAUAAAAAAAACAAAAUAUAGUGUUUUAAAUCUGUAAAAAACUGCUUUAAUGCACAAGCUCAAGUGAUUAAUAGUAAUAAAAAGAUAUGAGAUGACCAUGUUAUAAUACUUGUGAUAUUAUAUGUAUAUUGUUAAUUUUCUGCUUUAGAGUUUAGUUUAGUUCAUUAACUAGGCCUAUAGUUGACAGUCUAGUUAAUGAACAUGCUAGACCCCACAAAAAAUUGUAGCCUUCAAACACCAGAGCCAAAGAUUUGAUUUUUUUUUCUUGUAAAUUUACAACUUUAUCCUCAAAAUGCUCGACUUUGUUGUGGCUUUUAUAUUACUUUUAUAAUACUACCUUUUCACUAUUGUAAUAUUGCAGUCAUGUUGCUCUGCAGCAACCAAUGAAGACAGCGUUAUGGUCCCUACUUACAUCAAUUAAAUAAAUAUACAUGUGAUUAAUUAAAUGACAUAUUUGCUUUACAUUUCCAGCUGGUUUCCAAAUGUUUGAGGUUCGAUCAGAGCACUUUUUAAUCCCCUGUCACCCGCUUUGUUUCAUCACUGCUGCUUUUGUAACCGUUUAAUGGCAUCAACUGUAAAUCUUUUUGCAUAACAGUAGUUGCAUGAUCAGGUCAGAUGGAUUUCGGGAACCUUCCACCUGUGAGAGUACCUGGCACAGCAUGUAUUAUGAAUACAUUAUAGAUCACAAUGUAUUCUAGUUUUUUUUAAUUUGAUGGUUGUUUUGAACAGAGAGAGUCUGUAUCCACCUUUACACUUUUUGUACUCCGCUGUAAAAUGAGUACUGUAGAUGUGGGCUAACUUAUCAUCUAAACAAGUUUAUUGAAGACAUAAAGGUACAGAGGUUGAGGCCUAAGUGGGCUCUACAUCUGCUUUAACUCCAGGUCUUUGAAAUAAAGUGCUUGCAAGUGAGCCGCAGCUCUUAACUUGGACAUUACUUAAAGGCGCCUCAGUGAGCCAGAGAGCCGAGCCAAAUUUCCUUCUCUGGCUCCACAUGACAAAGCUGGUCCCGGGUCAAUUUCAAACCCAACAAUAGGAGUCUAAUCGGCUAAAUAGGGUGGAGGCCUUUCCUUCCUCCUUCAGACCCACAGGCUGGUUACGAUUAACAACUUAUUAUCAAUAGAAAUCCUGGAUUGACUGCUAAUCUGGAUAAUUAAAGCUACUACAGACACAGGCUGGAGUGAUUCCAGGUCUAUGUUUACCUGCUGUUUGAUACCAGAUACCUCACCACCUGCCCGCUGAAGGGAACACUUCUGAGAACAACUUUAACGACUUUCCUUUAGCUGACUAAUGGGUUUUAUCUCGUAACAGUCAGUCGUUGUUGUUAGCUUGCUUGUCUUCAUAAUACACUUGACUUCCUGUACAGUCAGUUGGGGUAUUUUUAAAGACAUUUAUAUUUGUAUUACUUAUCAAGAUGCUUAAUAUUCCUCAUUUGACCAUAAAAUUAAUGGGAGGGGAAAAUAAGGAUUUUAGGGAUAGCCUAUGUAGCGUAAUAACUUCAUCUGGGUCAAUUAUCUUUUGUUCUGUCGUGUAAAGCUAAUUUUGUUUUCUUGGUUUUGGGUGUUUUUUUGUCCCUCUUCAUAGCAUGACUGCAAUGUUGAACAAUGAAACAGCAUUUCAUAACAUCAUGCACGCUAGCUAUUCCCCUUUAUAUUGAACGGCACCAUGAGAAAGCUACAGAGUCAUUUUUCUUUUUCUCUCUUGCCUGUUUCUCCCACAGAGUGCAGAGUCACAUUUACACACAUUGAUUUAUUUUCGAAAGUAGGCCACAAUGCACUGCUGUGGCUCAUACAAUAGCUAUGUUUCAAUGGCACUUAAGGGUAACAGAUGGCUAACCUGUGGCCCCCUUUUUUUUCUGGAGAUCUAGAUUGUGCGGCGUGUGGUGUGCUGUGUUCGCUAUUAGUGAGUUUAGAGCCACAUUACCACACAUUCACUCCUUUUGUGAAGAGACGGUGACACGGAACAGGGUUGGCUCCACAGGAUGAAAUUUAAAGUGAGGCCACACAACAAAAGAAGAAAGACUGAAAAGCCAAAGUGAGAUAGCGAGAGGAUGGAUUUGACUCAUAUGUUUACCUGCCAGUCGGGCUUUUUCUGCAUUGUUGCCAUAGCAACUGCGACUCGCUGUAUUUGUGUGAGUGCAGUGUGUGUGUGGCAAGGGAUGUAAUUCUGCCUGUCACCAGUGUAGCCUAGAGCCGGCUCCCCAGCUGCUGGUUGCCAUGAAACCAGACAGACACAUCCUCCGCUUCAGUGAUAAAUUCUUUCUCCUGACGCUCAAAAGACUAAAGAGAUAAGAUGCAUUUUUAAAAAUGCCAUGAUGAAUGAUCACUGAUGUCCUCUGUAUGAUACAAAAUGUGUUAUAUCAAUCAUUUUAAAAGUAAUGUUAUAAUGUCACUAAAACAAACAGGAGUAACCAUUUCUUGGUUGCAUGAAAAACAUCCCUUCCCCCGUGACUGUGGCACUGCUGCAUUAAAAUGUGCUGUUCAUAUUACCCUUGAGGUGAAACUCAACUUUUGUCUCUCUGUGUCUAUUUUGAUUCCUUUAUUUUGUUAUUCAUUUUAUGUUAAAGGGAUAUUCCAGCGUAAAAUUAAGUUAGGGUCAAACACAAUAUAACAACGAGUUAGACACCCCUUCGAGAGAUGAAUGUUGCCGACCGCUUGAUUCUCUAGUUAUACCAACUUUAGUAAUGACCGCACAAUAGCAAAACAAAGAGCCACGCGCUCAACCAAAUAGCCACUCUAUAGCCACAAAUAAUGCUCAGAACAGCACCUAACUUCAUCAACAGUACAUAUAGGGUCCUAGCCACAGCAUUAGCCACCAAACAUAUUUUUAGCUUUGCCUAAUUUCUUUAGCAAAGAGACUAAACACAACUCACCGUCUCCCUUCCAGCAGCCGCUUGUUUUUUGUGAGACCUCCGGGCGAGUCCAUCGACUGCAGUGGGAGGACACCGUUGAAGGAAGAACUUACAUUUAGCAUUGUAGCGACAAGUAACUACAGUUGUUGCUUUCCUGUUAGCUUGUUAACAUGAGCUAGCUUGCUAAAAAAAUUGGGAGAAACAAAGCAGUAACGCUAAAGGUGUAAUACAAAAAACAAUAUCACAAUGACUGACUUACAAUUUAAAGGAAAAGUAAGAAUAUAAUAUCCUACUCUGUCCUUUGUGUUGUAGAGUCAUCCUGAGAUGACGGAAGUGGAGCCAGUGUUGGACUUUGCCUCCUCAGGACGCUCAGGUAGGAGAAAUGCCCUGCCUGACAUCCUGGGCUCUCCGGCGGGUGUAAAUCCUGGAGACCUGCCUCUGAAGCUGGCUGAGCUGUCCCUCAAAGGUAAAGAAACUAAUGGCUUCCUUUACUUUCUGAUAAAACUGACCAGUAGACAAGUUCAAACCGUAGUCAUCUUAUCCUUUGAGUUUGUGGUGCAAAUCUUGAACCAAGCAAUGUAGUUUGACAGGAUGUAAGAGUGCAUGAUGACAUUAUUAGAAUAUGUGAUAGCGGAACUAAAAUCACCUGUGAUGCAGAAACUUAUAUAGAAAUAAGUAAAAUCAUUAUAAGAAAAUUGUUAAAUACAGGGCUGAAGCAGUUCAGUGAUGCAGAAUCCUGAUAGUUUUUCAAAUUAAUGACUAAAUUAUAUAUAAAAAGUCAGAUGUAACUAGGUAAAUAGUCACUCUUUAUCUUUCAGGACAAUUUUACACACUAGGAAAUUUUCUAACUGUACAGGACAAGGCAUCACUUUAAAUUCAAACUUAUCCAUUGCCAGAAACUAUUAGCUGUCAUUUCAGCUGUGCACACAAGGCUGAAGCAGUUGGUUCCUCAUGGCUGCCUGAUUUGGCACAGAUUUAGGGCUUGAAAUUCAGGGUUAAAAGGUAGCUGUGGUUAGCGGAAAUCAAGAUGGCUUUGUGAAAAGGUUGCCACUCGGGAAUUUGGUAUAUCUCACUAAUUCCAUGCCUCAUCACGACUCUGGCAACAGCGUGACUGUCAUGCUCAGUGAAUAUAGACAACAGUUGGGAUGAGUAUUUUUGGCUGAAAGGGUAGCAUAGCAAACAAAUGAGCAUGAUGCAUAAUCAAAUAGGCUUUAAUGGUGCUGUUUGUCUUGAAAGAUGAAAAAUCUAUGAAGUGAAAUUUAGUUUAAAAUGUCUUAUUGACCAAUUAUAGGACUUUAAUUUUUCCUUGAAGUGCAUCUGAAAAACAUGGGGUCAGUCUUUCAACAGGACAUGUGUAGAAUUAAGCUGAAAAGGCUUGAUGGAAAUGCAAUAUAGUAUUCCUAAGUAUGUUUAAUUAGUGUUACAUCUACUGUACAUAAGGAGCCGAUCCUCUUCACUAGAACUUGACUAAUGGAGCAUCAUAGUUAUCAUAUAUCACAGGGACUUAAUGUCCUCUAAAGCCAGAAAUGAUUCUGAAAAUUUUCUGAUGAAGUGAUGAGCGAGGGAGAGUUUUUCAGUCUAGGAUCUGAUAGAUAAAUAUUCUUAUUUCAACUCACUGUUCCAUUAAAGGGAUAUUCCAGCGUAAAAUUAAGUUAGGCUCAAACACACCGUAACACUGAGUUAGACACUCCCUCAAGAGAUGAAUGUUGCCCACCGCUUGCUUCUCUAGUUAUACCAACUUUAGUAACGACCGCACGAUAGCAAAACAGAGAGCCACACCUAGCCUUGAGAGCCUCAACUAAAACGCCACUCUAUAGCCACAAAUAAUGCUCAGAACAGCACCUAACUUCAUCAACAGUACAUAUAGGGUCCCAGCCACAGCACUAGCCACCAAACAUCUUAACUUUGCCUAAUUUCUUUAGCAAAGAAACUUAACACAACACACCUACUCUCUUCCAGCAGCCUCUUGUUUGUACAGAGACCUCCGGGCGAGUCCAUCAACUGCAGCGGGGGGACGCAGCUCAAGGAAGAACAUUUAUGAUCAUUACUUCAUGGUAAUGCAGUCAGACCAAGAUGUUUGGGCAGAAGAACUACCACGUCUGCAGUGCAAAAUGAUUAAUAUGGUGAUUAUUACUUCAAGUCAAUGAUUAAACAAAUGAUCAUAAAUGUUCUCCCUUGAGCUGUGUCACCCCACUGCAGUCAAUGAUGGACUUGCCGGGAGGUCUCGUAACUCUAUUUUAAGGACCCUUACUUAAUUUUAGGCCGGAAUAUCCCUUUUAAAAGACAAUAUUUGCUCACAACGGUUAACACUGCAAACUUAGACAAGGCGAUGAUGCAGAUUUUACAGUAAGAUAAGGGCUUUAAAUGGAGAAAAACGUUUUUAAAAACUCUUAAGCAGGGAAAAAAUGAUGGUGUCACAAAGUGUAAUGUAUGAUGAACCCCAAAAGAUUGUCUCAAAAUGCAAGUCUGGUCAUGUUCUGAAGAACUAGAAUGGCAUAACACCCAUGAACAGAUCUGUAACCUACACAAAAGGGAUUAGGAACAUUAUUUUGAAGGUGUUAAAAACAACCACCUACCUCAUAAUAUUUUGAGAGUUUUUUUUUAAAUUAUUUUUUAUUAAAAUGUUUUGUUUUCAUCAUAAAAAAAUAUAUAUUUUUAAAGUCUUGCAAAAAUUAUCUUGAAAAGGGGCUUGUCCUUUGACCACGGUGGCCUUAUAUUCAGGGAAAAACAGUUUUUCUGCAGUAUUUUGGCAGAAAGUUGGAAAUGUUUAAUGUUCACUCACAAGGACUAGAAGUAAUAAAUUCUCCUUUUUACAAGUAGGUUUUCCCAUUAGCUUGUGUUUUUUGGCUGUAUGUCUGUCUCAAUUUGUGUUAAUGAAAGGCUAGGUGUGUAGCAGAAGAUGGAUUACAACACUGCCCUCUAGUGGUGUGGGGCUAAAAACUACACACAACACUCUACAACAUAUCCCGACAUGCAUACCUUCAUUUAAAGAGUCAAUUCAGUGGUUUAGAGAAUCCAAACAGUGUGCACUACUAACAUAAUGCACAGCUAAUAACAUUUAUUGCUUCCUGUAUGUCAUGUUUUUUCUGUGCUUGUGUCCAGAUGGUCCAGGAGGGGCCCAGUCGCCCUCAUCUGAGGGGCCUCCAGCGCCGCCGGAGAGUACAGAAGGGAGUGAGGGAUCUUAGGGACUCAUUUAUUUUCCUCCCCCGGAGACCUGCAAAGAUAACCCGAGAGACGGUUUGAGGGACGAGAGAGAUAGGGCACCCUGUGGGAGAGAGAGUGAUUAUCUGUGGAGAGUCAGUCUGUUUGUGAAGCAGCUGAACCACGGAGGGAGGGAGGAAGGGAGGGUGGCGGACCGACUCCCCCAGAGGACUGGAGCCAGGAGCUCAGGACUAUUUGGCACUCAGCGAUAUCUGGAAGGAGUCAGACGUCAUAUUAGUUAUGAACCAGUGAUUGUGUGUGUGAAUAGGUGAGCAAUACACUCACCAUGGACACUGCACUGAGAAUCAAAAGGACAAUGACAGAUUGUACACUGCUAUUUUUGUAUGAUUUAAAAUUAAAGGACAACGUGGACUGGGAAAUCAAACUGUACAACUUCUUGACAUUUCCUGCUGACUUUUGUUUAAGGGAGUCUGAUAGCAGCCUGUAGCGGUUUGAAGCUUUUUCAUUAAGGUGGAUUCAAAUUAGGUUGUGACAUAAGAAAACACUUAAUCUUUGACAAUCCAAUCACCAAAAAGUUGGAUACUGUGUAAAUUUGAGGGUAAGAAUAGAUUUAAUGGUUUGCAAAACAUGAAACCCUUUAAUUUGAUUUGAUUGAAACGAUGCAAAGACAAUAUAUCAAAUAUUGAAGCUAUAAAAUUGUCAUUUUUUUAUGAGAAACAUAUGCUCCUUUUAAAUCUGAUACUAGCAACAUGUUCCAAAACAGUCGAUAGAGAGGCGUGUUUACCCACCUCUUCUUUUAGAUACUCUGUGUAAACAUUUGGGAACCAAGGAGACCAGUGUCUAGUCUUUUGAAAGAGUAUUGUUGUCUCAUUUUUGUCUGAAACAGGAUUUCAGUCUCUCAGCAGUUGUGGGUCUGUUUUUUUGUUGUUGUUUUUGUUUGAGUAAUGAUGCACCAGAUGGUUUCACUAGGUUAUAAUAAGUCCGUACUGCAGGCAGGUCAGUCCCUUCCAUUACAGAGCCAUGCUGUUGUAAUGUGUGCAGUAUCUGGUUCGGCAUUGUUUUUCUGAAAUAUGCAAGGUCUUCCCUGAAAGAGGCAUUAUCUGGAUGGCAGCAUAUGUUGCUUUAAAACACGUAUAUUGUUCAGCAUUAAUGGUGCCUUCCCAGAUGAGUAAGCUACCCAUACCAUUACGGAUGCUGGCUUUUGAGCUGUACGCUGAUAUCAAGCUGGAUAGUUUAGUUUUAGGUUUGUGAUUUCCAAAAAGAAUGUCAAAUUUCGAUUCGUCGGACCGUAGGAAAGUUUUCCACUUCUUAGUCUAAAUGGGCGAAGAAGCUGCUGGUGUUUCUGGAUUAUGCUAACAUACAGAUUUCAUUGGAAAGCCUUUUUAAUUCCAGACAGUGGUGGAAGCCCAUGCUGUGAUUUUCAGUACAGAGUAAUGUCUGUUUUCAAUGUAGUGCCACCUACAUAUCCAGGAUCAUAUCCAUCCAAUAUCUGUUUUCAGUCUUGCCUCCUUUCUUCAGACAUUUCUCCAGAUUCUCCAAAGUUUCAGUCACAUUAUGUAUUAUCAGUGAUGAAAUCCCAGAAUACUUUGUAAUUUAUGCUCAGGAACAUUAUUCUGGAACUAUUUCUUGAACUAUUUGCUCAUGCAGUCUCUCACAGGAUACUUCACAGUACGGUAAACAAGUUUUUUAGAGUUUUGUUGUUCCUAUCCCAACUUUUCUGAAACAUGGUGGUGGCAUCAAAUUUAAAAAUAGGCAUCUGUUUUAAAAAAUGAAGUGAAAUUUCUCAGUUUUAACAUUUUGUUUGUUUUCUGAGCACCAUUUCUAAACAAACAUUAUGUUUAAAUGAUAUGCAAACCAUCAGAAUCUGUUUUACCAACAUUUUACACAGAUUCUCAAUUUUUGGGGAAUUGGGGUUGAACACUAACAUGUAUGUUCUGCUCAUGUUUUCAGAUCUUGGGAUGUUUGUACAGGUAAUCUACAUCGUAAAUGUACAGUUUUUAUCCCUUAUCAUCAGACUGUUUGAUCUUAGCAACUAUUUCCAGGGAUUUUUUCAACUUUUCGAGGUGUCCAUAUCGACAUUGACGAGCUCUCUGGAUUUUGUGACAUUCCUUGAGAGAAAAGUGACCCACUGCCAGCAGUUCGCACUGCUUCAUUAUAAUUUAAGACAUGUAAGAGACAUGCUUUUUUUCAGCUUAAAGCUGCUUUGAAAAGUAUUUUAAUUUCCAAACCUUUUACAAAAUGUGCCUCAUGGCAGUUCACAACUGAAAAAAUGUGUGUUGUGUUCUUUGUGAUGUACUGUUAUUAAUGAUUUCGGGCUGCUGAUAUUUCCUGUUUUUCAAAGGAGGUAUCACAACACCUCUUGUCAGCCUAAAAUGUAAAGGGGAAAAAAAAACAAACAAAACAAAACACUUUUGUAACAUCCUGCAGACCCCAAGCUGCAGAUCCUACUCUCUUUCAGGAAAAGCAUUCGAUUUUUUCGCUUCAUGCUUCUUAUAGCAACUGCAGCAUAUGCCUGCUGACUGGGGCAUGGGAGAAAACCAUCAAGCAGUGCCGCCACCGCAACACACAAUGUGUUUCCAGUGACAAAAAAAUGACACACACUCUCCGCACGAAGGAAAAGCCUGUUCGCACUCAUCAACACGUACGCAGAGCCGUGAAUAGGAUGCAAGACGGGGAGCGAGAAACACAUGGAGAGUCCACACUUGUCAGCUAUCCCUCCACUGUAAAUAGACUAUAUUGUAGUAAAAACCUGUGUGCGUCAUACAUGCUGCCUUUACCAGAUUUAAUCACAUACUGUACCUGCAAAGAAACAAUGUUCUGUAAAUGUCUCUAUUUGAAGAUGUGUUGCCGGUAGCUGUGUCUAUAUGUGGAUGUGUUAACAGAUGCAACAAGGAGAGCCAGAUGUACUGCUGCCCAGGAUCUGUUUCUGAUGCUGUACUCCUAAAUAUGACAAAGGAAGCAUUCACUGUUAAUCAGAGGCUGGAUGAGCAACACCUUUAUGGGGGCUGAUGGAUCACUGAUGUAUUUUGUAGUGUCCUGAUCUCUUAGUGGUGCGUAUAUUUUAUGUAGCUGGAUUGAAUCCCACGUGUUGAUUCUAUCUGGUGGUGAAAAUUGCCAUAUUAAAUCCACAAGAUUUACAGAAA